GACAUCUGUGACCACAGACUUGCACGCGUCACACCAGAACCUAGGUUUCUUCCCUUUGUUGUUGACACCAUUAACCCCAGCAUGGACAUGUGUGACCUUCUUAUUGCAAGAUUUGCAACUAAUGUAGUACCAUGCCCAAUCAGUAUCAAUGGCAUAGAUCGUACACAUCAGCCUUGCCUUACCAACCUAAGAAAAUAGAAAAUAUAACUUAGAGAAAGCUAGAUAUAAAGACUGAGAAAGCAAAGUUUCUUACAUCCAUAGAACUGAUGAGUUCUGAAAUUGUGUUCCUUGGAAACUCAUCAUAAUCUUCGUUUUUGGCAUUGACAAUAGCAAAUCUUGGUACUCUCUCACGGAAUACACAGAUUAUACCAUCAUCCGGGAGUCUAAUUUUUAACAUAUGAGUUAGCAGGUAAUGAAACAAUUAUCGAGAAAAUAGAAUAAGAACUAUAUAAUUAGGGCAAGUCUUACGAUUGGAUAAAAGCAGCUACUUCAGGGUAGGCUGGAUUGACAUGGACUUGAGUAGCAUCAAAUGAAUUUGAUAAGCUCCUAACACCUAGGUAAUAUAAGAACUGAAGUCAAAAACUGUCUGAAAGUAGCUACAUAUGUAUGUAUGAUUGAGAGUAGUUGUUAGGUACCUUUGAAUGCCUUUAUCUUAGCAAAUCGAAUCAGACACACGACAGUCUUGCCUUCAGCAGCUUGACAGGCUGUGUAAACAGUCUGAGCAAAUGACCCCCACAAAGUAACUGCAAUUCUCACAUCCCUAAAACAAAUACAAAAGAUCAGUAUAUUGAAAAUCUGUAAAGCUAAAACUGAGUAUGUUGAGAGUUAAAAUAUCACGUCUCAUCUCUCAUUUCGAAAUCAAGCUUGCAAGUAGGCUUAUUAUUAGCCUCAAGGUUCUCCAACUCAGAUACCAUAACAAUUUGGCCCAUGACAUCUGUUAAAACAAAUACAAAUGUUUAGUAUAUAAUAUAGUAAAAGAAUAAAUAUAUAUGAUUUACAUAUUUAAUAAAUAGAUCACUUACCAACCAAAAUGUGGGGAUUAAGCUCUCCACUGUGAAUCUUUUGGAACUUGGCCAAAGACAGGUAGUUUGAUUCAGACUUAGGUUCAGAACCAAAUACAGUAGUGGUGUUGACAAAAGUCAUCUUGUAGAGAUGAUUUGUGGGACGGAAUUGACCACCAGCAUAACUAAGACCAAAUGUCUCAAUUAAGACCCAAUCUCCAACAGUUAGACUGUUGACAUACCUGGAGACCAAAUCCUUUUUGACAGUGCAAUGAAUUUUCUUCCCCUGCAAAAUGAAGUAUUAGUUAUGGUAGGAAAUAGAUAAAAUGAUGUGUAUAGGAAAAUUGAUAUGUUUUGUAUUUGCUUACCAGUUCAUCAGAGAACACCAACUCAAGAGUCUCACCAGUAUCAGAAGUGUAUUGUUUCCAGGCGUGGAGGACUUUCACCUGCACUCUCCAGCCAAUCUUGUAAGGACGGACAUCUUUGAGGUACCAUUCAAUGAUUGAGAGGAAUAUAUGUCGUUGCUAAAACUGGAAAACGAUUCUGGAGAGUGAUUAUCGGGCUCAAGGUAGUUUGAGAGUAAAUCAAACUGAUGAGAUAUUCUUGCGAAAGAUUAUUGGUAAUUUAGAUAGGAUUAGGUUUAAUAGCAAUGUUAAUUAAAUGCAAAUGUAGAUAUUAAAAUGAUUUGGAGGUUUUAUUAGUUUUCAUUUGAUAAAUUUUUCUCAUAUUUGGUUAAACGAAUUUUUUAAAAUGGUA